UAAUACCGAAUGUGGUCAAAAAGUCGCAUGGUUUUCUGACUAAAGGUGGCUUCGGCUACCGCUUAGAGAUGGGCUUGCGCACCAUUAGCUUGUUGGUGGGGUAAUGGCCUACCAAGGCUUUGAUGGUUAGCCGACCUGAGAGGGUGAUCGGCCACAUUGGGACUGAGAUACGGCCCAGACUCCUACGGGAGGCAGCAGUAGGGAAUUUUGCGCAAUGGACGAAAGUCUGACGCAGCAACGCCGCGUGAGGGAUGAAGGGUUUCGGCUCGUAAACCUCUGUUGAGUAGGAAGAAACGUCAUGGGGUUAAUACCCUCAUGGCCUGACGGUACUACUCGAGGAAGCUCCGGCUAACUACGUGCCAGCAGCCGCGGUAAUACGUAGGGGGCGAGCGUUGUUCGGAAUCACUGGGCGUAAAGGGAGCGUAGGCGGGAAGGUAAGUCAGAAGUCUAACACAUGGGCUUAACCCAUGUCCGGCUUUUGAUACUGCUUUUCUUGAGUAUGGGAGAGGAAGAUGGAAUUCCAGGUGUAGCGGUGGAAUGCGUAGAUAUCUGGAAGAACACCAGUUGCGAAGGCGGUCUUCUGGCCCAAUACUGACGCUGAGGCUCGAAAGCUAGGGGAGCAAACAGGAUUAGAUACCCUGGUAGUCCUAGCCAUAAACGAUGGACACUAGUUGGUGGAGGGAGUCAAUCUUUUCACUGACGAAGUUAACGCAUUAAGUGUCCCGCCUGGGGAGUACGCCCGCAAGGGUGAAACUCAAAGGAAUUGACGGGGGCCCGCACAAGCGGUGGAGCAUGUGCUUUAAUUCGAUGCAACGCGAAGAACCUUACCUGGGUUUGACAUGGGGGUGAAACUCUCCAGAGAUGGAGAGCCUUCCUUCGGGAACAUCCUACACAGGUGCUGCAUGGUUGUCGUCAGCUCGUGUCGUGAGAUGUUGGGUUAAGUCCCGCAACGAGCGCAACCCUCGUCCUUAGUUGCCAUCAGGUAAUGCUGGGAACUCUAGGGAGACUGCCUGGUCACAACCAGGAGGAAGGUGAGGAUGACGUCAAAUCAUCAUGGCUCUUACGCCCAGGGCUAGACACGUGCUACAAUGGUUGGUACAAUGGGAUGC
rnacentral:rRNA from 1 species